UGAGAAGUGGGUGAAGGGGGUCACAGUACCCAUUUGAGAGGGACUUGCCUGCUCCUCUCACUCUCUAUCCUCUGCUGUUCUCCAGCAUGGUGUGCCUGUAUUUCUCCAGAGGCUCCCGGAUGGCAGCUCUGAUAGUGAUGCUGAUGGCGCUGAGCCCUCCCCUGGCCUGGGCCAGGAAGAUCCAACCACAUUUCCUGGAGUAUACUAAGAAAGAGUGUCAUUUCUCCAACGGGACGGAGCGGGUGCGGUUCCUGGACAGAUACUUCCAUAAUGGAGAAGAGUUCGUGCGCUUCGACAGCGACUGGGGCGAGUACCGGGCGGUGGCCGAGCUGGGGCGGCCGGACGCCAAGUACUGGAACAGCCAGAAGGAGAUUCUGGAGCGGAAGCGGGCCGCCGUGGACACGUACUGCAGACACAACUACGGGGUCGGUGAGAGUUUCACUGUGCAGCGGCGAGUGGAGCCUAUAGUGACUGUGUAUCCUGCAAAGACCCAGCCCCUGCAGCACCACAACCUCCUGGUCUGCUCUGUGAAUGGAUUCUACCCAGGCCACAUUGAAGUCAGGUGGUUCCGGAACAGCCAUGAAGAGGAGGCUGGGGUGAUCUCCACAGGCCUGAUCCAGAAUGGAGACUGGACCUUCCAGACCAUGGUGAUGCUUGAAACAGUUCCUCAGAGUGGAGAGGUCUACACCUGCCAAGUGGAGCACCCCAGCCGGACGAGCCCUAUCACAGUAGAAUGGAGGGCACGGUCUGACUCAGCUCAGAGCAAGAUGAUGAGUGGAGUCGGGGGCUUCGUGCUGGGUCUGCUCUUCCUUGCGGUGGGGCUCUUCAUCUACUUCAGGAAUCAGAAAGGACGCCCUACCCUUCAGCCAACAGGGCUCCUGAGCUGAAGUGAAGAUGGUCACACUCAAGGAAGAACCUUCUGUCCCAGCUUCUUCACAGCAUGGAAAGGUUUCCUGCUUAGCGCUGACUCUUCCACAAUGAAGUACUUUCUCAGGAUCUCAUUUGCUCCUGGCUCAGUGACCCUGUAGAAACUGUCCUCGAUGGCUUUCUCAGUCACCCCCACCCCCCUGCCCUCAGCCUUUGACCUGGAAGUUCUCAGUAUUGAUACCAGUACCUUAUGUUCUUUCUUCCUUCGUUCCCUUUGUUUGCAACUUCUGUUUGCUGUGCAUCUGAGCUCAUCUGUUCAUUUUACUUUAUAACGUGUUCCCUCAAAUAAAUACGGAGUGAAAAUCAUCUGCUUCAUACAUCUUCAAAAAGAGAAGUCAAAGAAAAGAUAAAGGGAAAAUUACAUCACACAGCAAUAACGUUUUUAUUUAUAUUCCUGAAUUUUGGUCACCUGUGGAUCUAGAAAGUUUCCUUUCUUCCUUUAUUUUUCUCUUGGGUUUUCUGCAUUCUGUUAUUAGACAUGUUUUCCUGAGCUAGCCCUUAAUGAACCCAUUUUCCUGAGAAAGCCCUUAAAGAACCCAUUUAAUGAUGGUCCUCUACAUCUCUGCAUUUUCAAAGACAAGUCCUUUACACUAUUGGAUACAGAAUUGGGACGACGAAUGUAAGAAAUGCAGGUAACUUGUAAGGAUGUGCUGCCCUCAACAUUUUUGUAAUCAUGCUCUUUUUGUCUCUUUUUCACUGAUUUUUUAAAAAGAAAGUAUAUAAACUAGGGUACUUGAACUAUGUUUUUUUUUUUUGGUUAUACUGAUAGUGAGCUAUAAUACUUCAAUAUUUUUCUGUCUCUCCAAUAAACAUAAUUGAUGUGCUA